rnacentral:lncRNA from 1 species
GGGUUCAGAGAGAUGUCACACAAGGUCGGAAGUCGGAGAAGCCCUGAAAGGGUUGGUCUUUUACAAACAUCGAUCGGGGGGGGUAUUUUAUACCCAACACCAGUCCCCCUACUUUCGAGUUCGAGUUCUAAAUGAAGAAAGUACAGAGAAAUUCUCACGAUCGAAGUUGCUUCCCUUGAUUUCUGCGCUCGAUGGUUGCCAGAUAUUUUGACGUUUGGCACGCUGGUACUAGAAGCUUUUCAAAAAAAGAUUCUUCAUUUUGGAAUUUUAGUCGAAACGUGGCUCUAGGCACGGUGUAAUAAUGACUUUGUUAGCUGCCAGCCAUUUUCAACAGUCUGUCAAGGUGAGUGGGACACACGGCAAGCGUAGGUCGGUCAGAGGAGAUCCGCAAUCAUUAUUGCAUUGGAUCUCGAGGUCUAUUUAAACAUGUUCUCCUCCUUCAGGGGUCUCACUUUUGCUUGAGAGAGUCCUUCGGUUUUCCUUCUCUUCCCCGAGAGCUCUAGCUUCCUCUAGCAUCCUUCUCGACCUUAGGCAUCCUCCGGAUCGACUUCCAUCAUCCUCGCCGUCUUCCUGCACUCCUGGGGCCGAUCUAGGUUAGUUCCGAAACUCCUUGUCAUUUUCCUGUCCUUUCUUCUUCGUAUUCUGUUCAUUUAGCUUCCUUGAGGGCCUGUUUGCUAUUUUUUCUGAUCCAAAAUAUCUUCUAAUAUCUCCUCUUCUAGUAGUUCUAGGAGUUCAUCAGCCCCAGUUUUCCAAAGUCCUGGUACCAUAGACGAACCCGUAGCUAGGAUCGAACCU